UCCUUCGCGGUGUGCAUCGCGGUCUUCAGCCCCGUGGUGAUCUGCU
rnacentral:tRNA from 1 species